rnacentral:misc_RNA from 1 species
AGAGAGAGAGAGAGAGAGAGAGCAAAAAGAAACAAAUAAAAAAGGAGAGAUAAGAGAAACUUAAUCUUCCUACGUCUUGAAAGGUUUUUCGAGUAUCUCCAUUUACCCAUAUUCACCACUUUGUAGAUCUGAGUGGAUUUGAACCACCAACCUCUCAAAUCCCCAAUUCGGGAUUUGAGCGCCCUACCCUUUUGAGCUUUCAGAUCUUCCAAACAUAUAAUAUUCAUUUACAUACUUUUAAACUUUAAUAAACCAAUCCCAUUGCGGAUUCCUUUUCUUAAGACAAGCAACAUUAACCCCAAUUCCACCACAGAGCUGUAAAACGCUAUCUCAUGCAGAUAUUGAAUUAACCAAAUAGAAAAGCUAAUUUCCCAAAUAAAUUUAACAUUAUUUCAUCACAAAUUUCACAGGACACUUAAAGUCGCUAAAUUUUCUUUAUUUAAAUCAUAGUAGUUUAAUCUUGACCAACUCUUCACUUGAUAACGAAUAUCUCGACUUGAUUAGUUACAAGUAACUUGGGGUAUUUUAAUAACAUUUUUAAACAAAAAUAUAGUAGUCAAAUUUUCUUUAGUUUACCAUAUCAGGAACUCAAAAAACUGAUACAAUCAUUCCCUCCCACUUUCAUUAAAUCUUAAAUGCUUUCCAGCGCAACCCUUGUCUACAAUCCAUUUCUAAAAUGAAAAUUUUUCAUUUUGAUUAUAACUACAGCUAAUCGAAAUAUAAAUAUUGGUUUUGGAACACGAUAUUUAAUCCCCAACAAAAUCACAGAUUCAGAAAUCGCAAAUUUGAAAUUGCCAUAUCCCAACGGUUUUUUAAAAUAUAAUAUAAUCAUAUUAGUCAUAUAUAAAAAUAAAAUUUUUUUAAAAAUACAGGAGACAAUUUUGCAAAAUACUGUUUCAAUAACGCAACAGAACACCAGAGCAGAAACAAGAUUUUUUUUUUUUUCCAGAAAAGAAGAAAACAAUCCCCCCCAUCCAGAAACUUCAAAGGAAAUUUCAUUAUAUUUUAGAAUUUGAGGAACAAAAUUCAACAUAUUUCGUUUGAAAACCACAAUACAAAAGUUAACAAAAAAUUAUAGACGUAGUUUAUAUAUUAAAAAUUACUUGGCACUCGAAAUCAGUUUAUAAACAUGUUAGCAUCCCAAUAUGUGCCCAGAUGUGCACAACUUCAAUCAUGGUCAUUACAAGUUAGGUGUAAUAAAAAAAAUCUAAAUUACUGAUCAAAUACCAUACUUCAUAUAAACAUCAUAUAUGAAAAAUUAAACUCGUAAAUAGUAAACAUUCACAUCUGGUUGAGAAGUGCGAAGAAUAUCAUAAAACUUGAUUUUAUCACCUCAGAGGCCGCAGCAGAGCUGAAAUCCCUCCUUAGCAUACACUUUUCCUCGAAGAAAUCAUUAUGAAGCCACUAACAAUCAUCCUCCAUGUACAAGCAAAUGACCAGACUAUGAAGCCGGCCUCCCAUGCGCCAAACGAUUUCCGAUCCCAACAAAAAGAACAGAUAAAUAGGCACAAUUGCAUACACAAUACAUUUAUUAUUUUAGUAAAAUACAAUUAACUUACAACUGCAAACACUGUAAACUAGUUCCUAAAACCCUCAAAAAGUAAACUACAUCAUUAGAGAAUUUGGGCUAACGCACAGCAACAUAAAGUUGCUUUAUUAUAUAACUAUUUCAGUAACUGAUCCAGCAAAUUAUAAACAUUCAGCAAAUUUUCAGUACUAUAACCAGCUGUAACUGAUUUGAUGAUUGAGAGACAAUAACAACAAAAUAUUGUUUGAUCGGCAUAUGCUUGGACGAAACAAUAUGAUUAUUUGCAUUGGCAUCGGGGAAAAAUGAAAAAUAAAUAUUAACUCCAGAUACAUGCUUGCAAGAUCAUUAAAUAAUUGGAAUUUGUUAAUUUGCAGGAUCAGGCCAACUCAUGAAUCAACAUAGGCAGUGAUUUCUUUUGUUUAGCUUUGAAAAGACAAAUUUUAUACCAUUUUCUCCAAAUCAUAAACGCAAUUUCUUUUACCUUGAUAAGGUAACCCGGGUUUCGAAGAACUCCACAAUCUAUGAAAACUGCCAAUUUCAAACAUCCAAAAUAUUAUUUAGUUAUACCCAUUUAGAAAAUUAAAGCAAUCAAAGAGAAGCAUUGCCCCGAAUAGCUAGCAAGCAUGUUGCAAAUGUAGAUUUGAGCAAUAUAAUUCAGGAAGGCCUUUUGAACAAAUUCGAAUACGGGAGAUCAGUUAGAGAAUACCUUGAGAGCAAAAGCCUUCAAGUUGUGAAUUGUUGACGCGCUUCAAGAGAGCUCUGGUAUCAGUUACGGAUUGGAAUUUUGGAGGAGAAAUAAAAUAAGAAAGCGGAACAAAUCACACCAGAGAGAGGAGAACCCGGGCAAUUCCCGUGCGAUCUCCCCUCAAAAAACACGAAAUCAAAAAUUUUAUUAAGAAUUUUGGUGACCUGCCAUGCAAGCGCACCUGUCAUGGCAAAGGUCGGAUGACAAAGAUAUUAACCGAGGACUUCAAGCCCCCCAUGAAUCAAACAAUACUGGGCUUUUCGUCCUGAUAUAUCUUAUACAUCCAUAUGUCACAAAACCCAUCUCCUGCUAUCCACAUCAAUCAAUGAAUUACAUGUCUUCUUAGCCUCAUAUAAUUGCAUGAUAUAAAGGCUACCCAGCAAAGAUCAGAACCAGUGAUCAAAUACACGCAUGCAUAUAGAAGUUCCAGCCAAAUAAAUCAACACCACCAGAAGGAAAUAAACUGCAAGCUGAAUAGAACCCAUGGUCAUCCUUUUUUGACAUAAACGCCACAAAACCCUUAAAAGGAUCCAUGCAGGGAAAAUUUGAAGCAGCAGGCAACAGAACCAUGACAAAUCUGCUACUUGUCAAACCAUAGAUUCAAACGACCCAAUUCAGAUUACCCAUGAAACUACCAUCAGUAUGCAGAUCAAAGAGAGAUCUACACGACAGCAGAAACCAUGGACCUUGAAGAGAAUCCAUGAAGACGAGAUCUGAUUCAAAGAGAUGAGCAGAAUAGGAAGC